GGGGUAAGUUCCGACCUGCACGAAAGGCGUAACGAUUUGGAUACUGUCUCGGAGAGAGGCUCGGCGAAAUAGACUUGUCUGUGAAGAUGCGGACUACCUGCACCUGGACAGAAAGACCCUAUGAAGCUUUACUGUAACUUGAAAUUGAAAUUGGACUUUAGUCGCGCAGCAUAGGUGGGAAGCGUUGAGCAUAUUCUUGCGGGAAUAUAGGAGCUAUCAGUGAGAUACCACUCUUCUAAUGUUAGAUUUCUAACCUUGAACCAUUAUCUGGUCAAGGAACAGUUUCAGGCGGGCAGUUUGACUGGGGCGGUCGCCUCCCAAAGAGUAACGGAGGCGCGCGAAGGUUGGCUCAGAGCGGUCGGAAAUCGCUCGUUGAGUGCAAUGGCAGAAGCCAGCCUGACUGCAAGACUGACACGUCGAGCAGAGUCGAAAGACGGCCAUAGUGAUCCGGUGGUCCCGAGUGGAAGGGCCAUCGCUCAACGGAUAAAAGGUAC
rnacentral:rRNA from 1 species